UUGCUGGCCAUCGGUUUAGUCAACUGGCCCAUCCAAGAAAGGAAAACAGAUUACACCGGAAGACACUAACACUAAACAGAAACACAUGCAGCAGCAUCAAGUCUAUACUACUCAUAAAGCAUACAAACACCAAAGUGGUGAACACCAACCAUCCUAAUAAUCUGAUCUUGAUAACUAGAACAGAAACCAAACUGAAAAUCACCGGCAGCAAUGAAAGCAUAUCCAGAAAACUCCAUCAGCAGACCCCCGGAUCUCAACAUUCACAAACCAGAAAAGCAUAAGAAUAAGCCAAUCUGAUCAUUGAUUUCGCUGCUCGUAGUGUAUGCACGAAGGAAACCAAUUUAAGCAACCAAUUUAAGGAAGCGAGUGAGGGUAGCAGCUUUAGCAAAGUCUCCUUCUUCGCGGGCUCCUAAGAUAUUGAGCAUAAGAAUAAACCGAAUCCGAUUGCAAGCUGUUUGCUUCAUAAUCACUUGAGUUUCCUCUCUGAGUUGAUCGCAUUGGCGUUUAACAUCUCCAAACCUGUCUCCUAAAUUUCGUUGCUCCUCUCUUAUGCAUCUUUGAUCUUCCCUUAUCUUAUCCAUUUCCGAUUUUAUUCGUUGGGCCCUCACUUUCAAACUCUUCAUUUUUGGUUUGAAAGUCUUCUUCCUCAUGCUCAUCGCCAUUUUAUCAGCUUAAAUUUGAAGCUCAAAGAAAACUAAAGCUGAAUGAGUUGGAGAUUUAAUCUUCGAUUGUGUUGAAUGAAAAGCCAUAAAGACUGGAAUAUAAAUAUACAUCUAACAAGUUACUGUUAGCGAACCGCGUCUGGUGUUCGGAGGAAAAACAAUAGAAUAAGGAAGAUGAAGAGAAACCGGAGUGAAAGGAGGAAGAAACAGCAGUUACAUAAUGAGGCCAGCAAUCGAACGAUUUUCAAGUGUUAAUAUAUUCCCAAGUGUAAGCGUCGCUCGGUUUCUCAAGUGUUAUCGAGCGAUUCCUUUUGUUAUGACUGAAUGAAACACAAGACUAUCGGUUUGGCUGACAUCCACUUAAUAUAUUCUCGUGGUCCCACACUGUUACUGCAAAAGUAUUUUAUUACGUCACAUACUUUUUCUUUGUGUAUUAUUUAUAUUAUUUUAUUCCUGAUAGUAGUGUUAUGUAAUAUGUAUUAGGAGUAAGAAACAAGAAUGAGGUCACCGCAAAGGUACUCCGUUAAAUACUUCAAAAAAAGGGAUAAACAAAGGUCUUUUAAAUUAAUUAAACUUCACCAUCAGCUUUUUUCAAUCAUUUGCAUGGUAUAUACAAAGACCUUCACAGCGAAUGAGAUUACACAAAUUAAAAUUGUUCAUAUAGAGAUUAUUGAAAGUUAAAGAGGGUGCAAAAUUACACAUAAUAUGUCUCCCCAUUCACAUAAUUGUUCAUAAUAUGUCUUAUCGAGCGAUUGCUUUUGUUUUGAGAGAAUGAAACACAGAUUAUUAGUCUGUUUUUAUUAUAGUGUUUCUACUAUAGUCUUGUGUGACUGGAAGUGACAGAUUAUUGGUGUGGUUGUUACAUCGAUUUAAUAUUCUCGUGGUCACAGCGUUAUGAUUUGCUUCUCAUAUUUUCUAGGAACUUCAUUUUCUUGGCUUUUGUGGCUGAAUAUGUCGUUCAAUUCACGUCACACUUAAACUUCAAAUACAAAGGUCAGUAAAGUCUAUUAGCAAUUCACGCCAAAGACAAGUUCUAGAAACCAAUAGAAACAAGGCACAUAAACGACAGAAUUAGAGAUGAAUGGAUUUCGUUUAAUUCCAACAAAUCCCUCCGUCAGAUUAAUUAGUUUUCAAUCUUCACCAUGCAAGCAUCUUCUAGAACUUGUAGAUCACAUCACUCUUUAAUGGCUUUGUAAAGAUAUCUGCAAGUUAGUCUUUAAACUAGCAAACUCCACCUCAAUCUCAUGGUCUUUUACCAAAUCCCGACAGUAGUGAUGUUUGUACGCAUUUCCUUCCACUCUUCGUUCUCUCUCAAAAAGCAAUGUAAGUCUGUUUUAUUAUUUUAGUUUUGAGUUGAGCUUAUUUUUUCUCUUUGCAGUUGGUAUGAGUUGUUAAUGUUUAUUUGGGUAUGUUUCACAUUAUUUUGCUGUUGGCAAUUUUUAGUUAUAGUUGCAUUUUCCGAAUGGUUGUUUUUGCAUAUUGUUGUUUAAUUUUCUACUCACGCAAGUGUACAUAUUGCAAAGGUAAUAUAGAGAUGAGUAGAGUGUCGAUUCCACAGAGAAUUGAAUUAAUCCUUGCAGUUAACUACUAAAAUUAACACACUUUAACUUUAUCUAGACAAUUAAAAUUAAAAAAGAAAAUUUAAAUUAAUAAACUAAUAACAAAAACUAAUCUAUUCAAAUUUACUUUAUUAAAUGUGAAUGACUACCAGAUCUAAGAUUAGAAUAUUUCUCAAUACUUUAUCUGAUUAUUAUCUCUCUCUUAACCUAGUUUAAUGGAUUAAGUUGGUAACCUAGAGUCCUAAAUUAUUUACAAGUCUCUAUCGAGUUUUUUAUAAAAAUAUCUCUCUCAAUUAAUUUACUAUAUGUCUAUACAAAUUAUAUUGAAGAAAGAUUCAUUAAGUUUAUGCUCUAAUCCUAGCUACGUAUGGUUUAUAGGUGUAUUUCUACCCUAUAUGCAAAUCAAAUCACCUAAUCAACUAAGUGUAUUCGAUCAUACGCUAUUCUAUUCAAGAUCUACCUAAAUCUCCUUUGUCAAGGUUUAACUUAGAUUUCCAAUUCAAUCUAAUUGGUGGCCAGUCAACUAGAAGCAUUAAGAACAGAAUAAAAUAAACAACUUAAAUCUAUCAAACAUAAGCAAAAAAGAGAUAAAUAAUUCAGACUACAUAUUGAGUUCAAUCAUAAUCUUAGAUAAAAAAUUUAGUUCCCUAUCAAGUCACACAUUAUUAUUGAAUAAAAUCUAAACAUUAAAAACAAAACUAAGAAAAUAAAAGAAUAAAAAAAAAUAUAAAAAAACUCAAGAAUUGUAUUCUUGAUCUCCAAAUCUCCUUGAAUUUUGCAAAUUCUUUUUAGCUUCAAUGACUCUAUGGCUUGACUCUUAGCUGUUAAUCUGAUGUUUCUUCAUUCUCUUUUUUUCUCAUCUGAAAGGUUGUUUUUAUAGGCUUUGAAGUUAGGCCAAGUUGGGUGAAGAAAGAAGUCAAUUUCAACUAUGAUUUUUAUUGGCUCCAUUAGUUUUUUAUGAUAAUAAAACAUUCCCAUUCAUUUGUGUCUAAUGCCUUUACUUAAGUGUGCAGGAAAAUUAAUGUAUAAAAUUAAUAAAUCAAUCUUUUAAAAUACAUAUCAAAAGAAAAAGGGAGAUAAAGAUAAAGAGACAUGACUGCUUAACAAGGAGGAAGCUCAUUAGUUGAAUAAGGAAGAAUGUUGGUUGGCCAAGAUUCAAAAUGGAGAAAUGGUAGGCUGAAGAAUAUUGAGAAAUAGAACCAACUUAGUCGACCAAGAAAUAGACUAGUCGACUAAGUGCAUACUGCUAGAAACAGGGAGUAGAAAACAGAGACGAUUUAAUCGACUAAGAUAUUGGUUAGUCGACCAAGAGCAUUCUGGCUGCAAGUUUGAAAGCUGCACUAAAAGACAGAGUAACGGCUAGAACUGACCCUCAACUAUCUCCAACGGCUAAAAAACUGUCAGACUGCCAUCAGAGUUGUUUCUCUAAGUAUAAAAGGGUCUUCCAAUGGUUAGAAAUUAGUUUUUGAGAGAAUUAAAAGCUUCCAAGUGAUAUAGAGCUGAAAAAUUAGAAAAUCUUCUCUGCAUUUUGCUUCACUUAAACGCCCAUCUUUUGUUAUUAUAUUCUGCACUCAACCUUGUACUAUUUAGAUCAACUUAUGAUCAUAGGUACUUUCUUUUAUUUCUCUUAUUGUAUUCUUAGAGUGAGAGAGUUACUCUAAGUGGUUGUUUCAAGCUAGGUUUGCUUGAAUGUGUUAAGGUUCUAACUUAGCCUUGAAAAGUCAGUUGGUGAGUUUUAGUUUAGCCUGUGCAAAACUAGUGUUAAAGGUUUUGACUGAGUCUUGUAAAAGCCAUUGUAAAGCUUGGUGAAAGCUUGUGAAUUUCACUGGUUGUUAAUGGAUUGUUUGAAAAAUCCUUCGUUGGAUAAUCAAGGUAGUAGAUGUAGGUCUUGGACCUAGCCACUAUAAAUUCUACUGUCUUGUUUACUCUAUUUUGUUUCAUUUUCUUUCCUUCAUUUGUCUCAACUUUAUCUAGACUUACAGACAAUUUUUGAAAGAGCCAAAUUAUGCUAUUCACCCCCCUCUAGCACAUAUUAUUGGGACCAACAAUUUCCUCAUCAAACUAUGUAGUCGCAGCUUUGCCCAAUUAAUUAACAGAAAUCAUAAUUGCUCUAGAAUUGUUGCAGUAUAUCAACUUCAAUAAGAUUUUUGACCAUAUUUCAGGCCAAACUAGGUGAAGUGGUAAUAAUAAAAGUUGUAGAUUUUUCUCUUAUCUUUCCAAUAGUUUAAGAAUCGCUUCAUUUAGAACUCUAUAGAGAAAGUUAUGGCUGAAAUACCGAAACAUGUGAAGUGUAAGUUAGUACCUUGAAAUUGCUCUCUUUCUUUUACUAAAAUUCUUCUUUCAAACACCUACAAAAGCACAAAUAAAUCAAUAACAACCUAUCUUGAUCAUAUUAACACCAAAUUAAGUAUAAAUUAAUCAUAAUUAGAUUGACUUACCUAAAAUAACUAAUUUAAAAUAAUUAAAUAAAAUCUACUAAUUUUUAUGCAUUACUACAAAAACUAAGCCAAAUCAUUAUUAAAAAUAAGCUCAAAUAACUCUACAUUAUAGAGUUAUCACAUAUUGUACAUACAAAUUUCUCGUCGAAUUUCUUGACUUGAAAAAUUAUGACACAAAUAUAAAAUAUUUUGAUGUGAGUUAUAAUAUUUGAAAAUUCCUCUGAUUAAUUUCUUCACUUCAGCCUUAAGAGUCAUGAACUCGGACUUAGUCUUGAUCACGAACUAAACUUGAUAUCUUCGCUUCAAAGGGCUUGACGACUUGAUUUUGAUUACGAACUAUAUUUGAUAUCUUCACCUCAAGGGUCUUGAUAACUUGAUCUUGAUAGUCUUGGUUACGAGCUAAACUUGAUAUCUUCACUUCAAACAUCUUGACGACUUGAUCUUGAUCACAAACUAUAUUUGAUAUCUCUGCCUUAAGGGUCUUGACAACUUGAUCUUGAUCAUGAACUAUGUUUGAUAUCUUUGCUUCAAGGGUCUUCACGACUUGAUCUUGAUCAUGAACUAUACUUGAUAUCUUCACCUCAAGGGUCUUCACGACUUAAUUUUGAUGUCAAGCUCAACUCUAUUAUAUACUUGCCAUGUCAUUCAUGUAUUUGAUAGCAUAUCUAUAUACUUGGAUGCCUCAAAAAAUCGUUAAAAAGUUGGUAUCGUACCUAAUGGUACAAUUAAGUUGAUUAAAGCCUCGAACUAGUCCAAAUAGAGAUUUGAAGAUGUAUUCGAGAGUUAUUGAAACUUAGAAUAUCUUAAUAUGGUGAUUCGGAGUUUGAUGAUUGAUUUGGAGUCCAAUCGGGAAUUUUCAUAACGUAAGGGCAAAAUGAUCAUUUUACCACCUGAGGGUAAAAUUGCAAUGUUGGAUGAAAUUUUUGACUAAGUUUGACUAAUUGGAGCAUGAUUUAAAUUUGAGAAAUGAACAAUUUUAAUUUCGACAUUUUUUCGAACAUAAGGGCAAAUAGUCAUUUUACGUGUCCAUAAGGGCAUAAUUGGAAUCUUUAAAAAUUUGCACCACCAUGACACUUGUCCAACCCAUAAACUUCACCCAUUAUCAUUUUGGCCCAUGGAUAAUUUUGUGGUGGUGAGAGAAUGCUUAAUUGUUAAGUGUUAAGCAUGAACCAAUUACAUGGUGACACGUGGUAAAUUUUAAUCCUUUUAUAAUUCCCUUUAAAAACCAGCACACACUCCUCCCAAAUCAUUCUCUCUUGGCCGGCCAAAGCAAAAAACAAAGAGAAAAGAAUAGAAACAAACCCUAGAGAGGAAAAUUUAAGAGAAACUUGUUGAAUUUCAAAGAACAAAGCAAUCAAAAGUAAGAUUUUUCAAUUUUAGCUUAAGAUCUACCUUUCCCAUGCUCUCUUUUUCAUUUUCCAUAGUUGAAACUCAAGAUUUCAUGAAGGAAAGUUUGCUAGCCGAACCUAGGGGGAGAGGUUUUGAUCACGGGUUUUGUUAGAUUUCAUGCUACAUACUCGUUUUUAGUUGUUUUGUGAUACUCGGUGUGAAAAACAAGCAUGAAAACCACAUGUUCUUCAUCAAACCCUCCUUGGCUGAAUUUACUAAAGGACAUAUUGAUGAUGAAUCUUGUUAUAUCUCAUGUUAUUUAACUCGUAUUUGAUGAAUUGUGGUGUCGGAUAUUGAAAACGGUUAUGAAAACGUAUAGUUCCUUUAGUGAACGAUUUGAACAAUAAUAAGUAAAUCAUAGUAAAUGGACUUGGAUUUGAUUUCUAAUGAUAUAGAUGGAUUUAUUGGACUAUGUUGACAUUGAUUAGCAUGUUAGUUCGGAAUCAGAAUGAAUUUCGGUUACGAUGAAUUAAGUCACAAUCAAGCUCAUUAAGGUACCUUGGUGUAUUUGGAAUAUUGGAAGUGUAAUGAAUAUAUUUGAAGUGGAAUUGGAUGUUUUGGUUAAUUCAACAGCGUAUAGUUCGAGUUAGGUCGAAUGCAAAUUCAAACCGAUCAAAAUUGAACUCACGUAGAAUACCAUCUUUAAGUGAUUAUUUGGACACUUCUCAUUCCAUUUCAUGCAUUCAUGUAGAGCCUGAAAUACUUUUAUAAUAGAAUGGGACAAAUAUAUUGAAUUACUUGUCGUGUAUUAUGUAUAGGUGUUGAGCCCCCUAAUAAGGGUAAAGAUAUUAUACCCGAGGACCAAGAAUAAGAGUACUCCAAACUCUCGUUAUUGUGAGUGAUCAGACUUUCAUCUUAACUAUCUAAAGUAGUUUAUACUCGUUUUUAUGUUUUAAAGAAAAAUGAGUUUAAAUUGUAAGUUAUUAUGUUUUAAAAGUGAAGUGUUGGUUAAACGAAAUGAGAUUUAUAACUAUUUUGAAAUUAAAUACUGGUUUUGGAAAUUGAGUAAGUGGAGACUGUAUACUCAUGUUAUAUAUAUAUAUGUUUUGACAUAUGGUUUGAAUUGAUGGCUUAUGACAAUGUGGUGGCAAGCAUGGUUAGAUUUCUGUUUGUGUGGAAUAUAUGAAUUGUUUUGCUUUGCCUUGACAAGCUGGGUAAUGCUAUAUUGGCCAUGUCAUGCUAUCGAAAUUUUUAUUAAUUUUGGGGGUUAUUUGAUUAGCUUACUGCAGUGGACGAGUUUCUGUGGACUAGCCUAUGAGAAGGGCAUGGUAAAUCCCGUUAUAUUUACCUUAAUACGAGAGGCGCGGAGGGUAUCUCCUAAGGUAAAGUUUAGAGUUCACUUCACCCCAAACCACCACGUGAAAGUGAAACUCAACCAACGCCAAGGAACGACUAUGUUUUUAAACGUGAAAACAUGUUUUAUGUGUAUAUGUUUUUUUAACUGCCUUGGCGGACUCGGUUGGAUGCCCGGCGCAAGGCAUCAUCGAGUACUAAUUUUUGGCACGAGCCAAAUUUUUACGAGAAUCAUUAGCCUUGUUGAUUUUUAUGAAAUGAAAUUGAUUUAUAUGAAAUGAAAUGAGAUUUGAUGUUAUGAAUCAUAUUAUGAUGAGAUAUUUUAAAUUGUCUCCGUUUACUCGGCUUUAGAUAUUAUAGAUGAAAUUUGCUUACUCACUGGGUUUAGAAAAACUCACCCCUUCUUUUCCCCCAUUUCAAGCUCAAGACAGUCUAUAGACAGUCAAUUUUGUCGAGGGUUGCUUUUGGAUUUGUAUCCUUAGAAAUCGAAAGUCUACAGUCUUGUACAAUUUCAGUUAUUUUGGGGGCCCACAUGUUAUUGUAGAAUAUUUUUGUAUACCUGGUUUAGUGCGCUAUUAUAUAUAUGAAUUUAUUUUGCUUUUACGCUACAAAAAUUAUUUAUGCACGAUUCUAUAAAUAUUGUUUUAUAAGAAAAUAAAAUAUUUUAUUUAAUAUUUUUAUUUAGUUUGAUUAGCCAUAAUUUCAUCUUAAAUGGAUAAUUUAGAUUACUAAAAUUAUUCUUAGAUAAGAAAUGUAUAUUUUUUGAUCGUAUACUAUAUUUUCAUCAAGUUUCAAAAUUUUGGAUAAAAUGACCAAAAUACCCCUGUGCAGUAGAAAUUACUUUUUGAUCAUUUUUUAUUUGAAAAUAGUCUAUAUUCUUUUAAAUAUGAUAUUUAAUAACUGUUACUCACAGGGGCGGCAGAAAACUGAUGCAAUAGCCUUACGAGGUUUCAGUUGGCAUUCCAAGUAAGGAAUGUCUAUCGAGACAUCGCGGAGGGUUGUCAUGGGCUCGAAGAGAGUACCGGGUUGUGACACUUGACCAUGAACACUUGAUAUUUUGAUCAUGAACUUUGCUGCCGCCGGAUAUCUUGAUCACGAACUUUGUUUCUACUUGAUCAUGAACUUCGCUGUCGCUUGAUAUCUUCACUUUAGAAAUCGUCUACUUUUCUCAAUCUCUGAAAAGCUCUGAAUCUUCGAAUGCCUUCGAAUGAAUGCAAGUGGAUUGGAGGAGCCCCUUAUUUAUAAUGCUAGGUGGGAGACUUUGAUGAGAAUGUAGUCUCUUUGAAUUAUCUCUAAAUUAUUUUAAUUUAUUUAGAGAUAAAUUAUAAUGACUCAUUAAAAGUCUUUUGAUUGACAGGAUUUUGAGUCAUUAAAUUUUGAUUGGUCGAAGUUAAGUAUUAUCUCUAAAUCAUCUUAAUUUAUUUGGAGAUAAAUUAAAUAAUAAAAUUUGAUUUUUAUCUCUAAAUUAUCAUAAUUAUUAGAGAUAAAUUAAAUGACCAAUAAUUAAAUUUUGAUUGGUCAAAAAUAUGAUAUUAUCUUUAAAUUAUCUUGAUUUAUUUAGAGACAAAUUAGAUUAUCAAUAAUUAAAUUUUAAUUGUUCCAAAUUAAAUAUUAUCUUCAAAUUAUCUCAAGGGAUAAAUACAUGACAUAUUAGUGAAUUAGUUCAACUAUGUGUCUUUGAAAUAAUCUAACGAAUAAAUUAAUUAUUUUAAAAUUAAUUAUAUGGUUAUGAUAUCAUCAAGUCCACAUUGCAGCACGUAAUUGGAUCAUAACUUUUUUUCUUCUACAAAUGCCCCUCAAGACUUGUUCACAUAUGAUUUUGAAUGAAGCAAGUGGACAAGUCUUGAAAUUUUAAAAAAUUUCUGGGAUUUCUUAGAAUCCUAGUAUGUCUUGGUAUACUUGCAAGCCAAGUUAAAUUUGAAUUAUACUUACCCAUAGGUAAGAGAAUUAUGAUCUUGGAAGAUGUAUAUUGCAAUAAACCUAUAGGAAGAACUAUAUUGUAGUUGGUAUUACAUUUUUUAGUCAACAAAGGCUCUCUCUUUUAACUCUAUAAAAGGGAAACUCCCUCGUUAAUUUUCUACACAUCGAAAUCAAUUUAAGAAUUGCAGGUGUUCCAUAAGCUAGUAAAAAAAUUCUUCAAGAUAUGCCACCUUGAUAGUUUUUUUAUUCUAUCAAAUAAGUCCUCAUACUCUUAUUACGUUCAAUCGAGCCUUCAUAUUUUUUAUUUUGAAUCAAAUAAAUCCUUAUACUUUUAUUUUAAGUCAAAUAAGCAUUUAUAACUAAUAGUUGACUUAAUCAAAAUAUCAUUUAUCAUUUUAUAUCAUAUGGUAGUGACGUGACUAACGUGACAUGUUGACAUGUUAUAAUAUAUUAUGAUAUGGUCAAAUCGUAUUUUUCACGCUCUAUGUCAGCACCACAUGGACAUAAAAUGAUAGUCGAUGUUUUAAUUAUUGACAAUUAGUUAACUAUUAUUUAUAAAAGCUUAUUUGACCCACAAUAAAAGUACAAAGGCUUGACUGAACAAAAUAAAAAAAUAUGGGCUUAUUUAAAUUUUUUUGAAAAAUUUACGAAUUUUUUUUAGCACUAAGGCAAAAUAAAAAGGGGAAGAGAUCCAAGUUACACAUUAAUAAAUCAAUUACAAUAUUAUGAAAAUUAUUGAUGUAAAAAUUCUUCCCUUUUCAUAAAAAUUAUUAUGAAAAUUUGUAAUAAAUCAAUUAUAUUUUAUUAGGAUCUCAGCCAACGUGAAGGGGAACUCAGCCAACGUCAAGGAACGGCUGUAUUUUUCUCAAACUAAAAUAUAUUUUAAGUGUAUACAAAAUUUUAACAGCCUUGGCGGACUCGGUUAGAUGCCCUGCGCAAGGUAUCACCGAGUAUGAGUUUUGGCACGAGCUAAAGUUUUAAGAAAUUCAUAAGCCAAGUUGAUUACUCGAUUUUUAUGGAUUGAUUUUAUUUGGUUGAAAUGAGUUGAAAGGUAAUGAAAUUACAGUAUGAUGAUUUAUUUUAAUUGUCUCCAUUUACUCGAUUUUAGAUAGUUUAGAUGGUAUCUGUUUACUAACUGGGAUUUUAUAAUCUCACCACCCUCAUUUCCUCACAUUUCAGGCUCGGGGAAUUUCAUAGUUAGCUGACUUUAACAAGGACCUUCAUUUGGAUUCGAAUCGGUAAAAGUUGUAGGUUUCCAACUUCCGAUGCAUUUUGGAUAGAUGUGGGCCCACGUGUCACUGUAAAAAAAAUUUUAUGCUUUGGUUAUUUGUUUUAUAGUAUAUAUGAAUAUAAUUAUCUUUUACGCUAUAAGAAUUAUGUACCGAUAGUUUUAUGAAAAUUAUUUUACAAGAAAAUAGUUUAUUUUAUUGAAUAUUUUUAUUAUAUUCAAAUGGUCAAGUUUUCACUUCAAAUGAACGUUUUAGAUACUUAAUUUUUUUUAAAAUCAUUAAAUAUAUAUUUUUGGCUUACCUACUACAUUUUUAGCAAGUUUUGAGCUUUUCGACAAAAAUGACGAAAAUGCCCCUGUGAGCCAAAAAAAAAUAUGUUAUGUUAUGAUUUGAAAAUGAUUUGUAAUCCUUCGUAUUUUGAUUAUUUGAUAACUAUUGCUCACCGGGGAAGUGCGAAAGUUGAUACGAGAGCCUUGCGAGGUUUCGAUCGACAUUCGGAGUGAAGAAUGUUUGUCGAGGCUUCGCGGCGGUUGUCACGGGCUCGAUGGGGAGUUCCGGGUCGUGACAUUAUGGCUUUGUAUACUUCAAGUUUUUUACUCUUUUGCCUUUAGAUCAACUUGAGCUUCUCAAGAGUCGACUCCUAGACUUGUGCCUUAAGGUUGUCUUAGCUUUUUAGCACCUUUCUUCAACUAUAUUUUCUUUGCCUUGUUCCAACAAUCAAAUAAUAAUUCAUGGCAUGUUUACCUUUUGUUUUCUUAGUUGAAUAUGCAUUGUUUGAAAGCUUUUAUAAUAUUUUUUAAUGAUGCAUGGCUUUUUAAACAAUUAUGUGGUCUUAGGGGAUUAAAAAUAUAUUUGAGACAAUUUAAAAUGCUUGACAUUAAGUUCAAAAUAACAUGUAAUUUUUGUCAAAUUAAAGCAUGAUGUAACUCAAGGCUAACAUUGUUCCUUGACGUUUGAAAGACCUUAAUAACUUUAUCAACUAUGUUAAGAGGAAGAUUCCUAAAUGGUCUGUUGUGCACGUCCCCCGUUCUGGUAAUAUGUUAAUUGACCAUCUUGCAAAAGCUGGAGUCAAUCAUGCUCAUGGGCAAACCAUAUUGGAAGGAGUGGUGUCACAUGGCACCACUCACUUCUUAAAAUGUUUUAAUUUUUAUAUUAUUUAUUUAAAGUUUUGGGUAGUUAAUAUAGUAAUGAACCCAUGAAUUUUUUUUGCAAUUUUAUAAGGACGGGGGUCAAAUACUCCAAGUAAAAGUGAUUUAUCAAAAGGUAAUUUAUGUAUUUUGUAGAGGCUUAUAUUUAGUUUUAAUGAAUGAAUAGAAAAUUGUCAUUUCUUUAGUAACUGAAUUUGAUAAUUUGCUAUGUAAGAUUAUAUUUUAUUUAAUUCUAAUAUUUUAAUUUAUGCUAAUGAGUACUAAUUUUUAACAAGUUAUAUAAAUUUAGAUAAAUAAGUCAUGAAAAGAUAUUUUAAAAGAAAAAAAAUUAUCUCACAAGGCUUAGAUCUCGUACAAUAACAAAAUUCUACUAAUGAUGAUACUUAACAGUAUUUUUCUAAGUAAAAUUGUGUUGAAUUUGAUAUAAGUACUCUUUCAAUAGAUCUUGAAUAAAAAAAAAAUUUUGAAUAUCAUCCUAUUGAAUGACAUCACUUAAAAAAAUCCACCGACGCCGGUUACCAUCCACAAGUACAGGCCGUAAGGCCCUGUUGGUACGAGCAACUGCCAUUCCUUAUAUCAGUUAAGCCUUCAAACAGUCAUUCUUUAUAUAAUAUAUAUAAUUUUGGCAAGUGUUAAAAUUAUGAAUUAACUAAUAAAUAUAAUUUUUUUUUUGUGUAACUCAAUCACGUAAAUAUAUUUUCUGAUGGUAUAUAAAAAAUUGCUGCACAUUAAAGAAGAAAACAGAAAAAGUGAGAUAACAAUGUUAAUUACAUAAAUUAUGUUUGCUGCUUCUAUCAGAAACCAAUUUAAGGAAGUUGGAUUAAAUAGAUCUUUAUAAUUAACAGUUAAUUAAAAAUAAUUAAUCAAAAUGUAACAUUGACAUGAUGUUAUGUUAUUAUAUUACAUAACAUGCAACAUCAUCAUUCACUAUGACAUGUCAGUAUGACUCAUCGAUAUUACAUGACAUAAAAAAGAUAAGUAACAUUUUGAUUAAUAAUAGUUAAUUAACUAUUAAUUAGUUAUAAGGUAAAAAAAACUUAUUUAAAAUUUUUUUUAAGUAUUAUAUAAUCUACUUCUUAUUUGUUAAACAAUGUGUACAUCACUAUUAAUGAUUAAAUUAAUAGGAUGUCAUAGAUAGGAACUAAGCUAAAGGAAUUAAAAACGCGAAUGGAGAAGAGAUACAGUUCCGCUAAUAAAAUGGGAAUGCUUUUUUAGUGGUCGUUUUCAAUAUUGUAUUUCUUGGGUCACCGCCCUAACCGUCCUUCAAUUAUCUUUUGUAAAUUGACUUCUUAAAGUAGCAAGCCUUGACAAAAUUCAUUAUGCACCAAAAUGAAAGCCAUACGACUCCGUUUUUAUAUGCAAAUCCUAUUAUUCUUUAUGUUUUUUAAUGAAGUCUAAAUUUGAACAAGAGUAAUAAUUUUAACAAUGUACUUUUAGGUUGGUUAAAAAGAUUUAAAAAAACUAACAGUAAAAUGAAUAUUUCAAAAAAAGUAAAAAAAAAUAAUCUUUUUUCUUUGCAGUUAAUUUUUUUUACUAUUUUUUAAUCAAAUGAAAAGUAUAAUGUUAUAAUUACAAUACUUGAUUAAACAUUAAGAAUCCAUCACCCUAAAUAAACUGAUAAAUUUUGGAUUUUAUUAAGUUUGCUUUAUCAAAGUCUCCUUCUUCGUGGGCUCGUAAGAUAUUAAACAUAAGAAUAAGCCGAAUCCGAUUGCAAGCUGUUUGCUUCAUAAUCACUUUGAGUUUCCUCUGAGUUGAUCGUGUUGGCGUUUAACAUCUCCAAACCUUUCCCCUAUAUUUCUUUUCUCCUCUCUUGUAAUUUUUAAUUUUUUUCUUUCCUAUUUCUGAUUUUAUUCGUUGGGACCUCACUUUCAGACUCUUCAUUUUUGGUUCGAAGGCCUUGUUCCUCAUGCUCAUCGCCAUUUUAUCAGCUUAAGUUAUAAGAGUUUUAAACCACGUCAUGUCUAUUAGUAUCAUGUCAAUUUAGUCACAAUGCCACAUCGGCAUAUUUAACAAUUAAAUUUAACGAUGUUAAAAUUAAAAAUUAAAAUUAACAAAUUAACAAAAUAUAAAAACCUAAUUCACACAAAUUAUUUUAUAGAGACUACAUCUGCUGACAUGAUAAAGGCUCCAAAGAGACAAUAUCUUGAAGUGAUCCUCCCAAAAUUCUUCAAUGAGAGACAAUAUCUUGGAGUUUACAAACAACAUCUCUAAAGUAUAUUUUUAAAGUUACGUACACUUAUUUUAAAAGAAGAGAAUCAUUUCUUUUUAAUUUAUAUUUUUUCACAAAAAAUGGUGUCUAAGUCAUUGUACAAUUCAUGAUUCUAAUAAUACACAAUGUGUAAUGAUUAAGAAUAGCUAUAGACAUCCCUUUUUAUCCAAAAUUGUUUAUUGUAAAUUUUUUAUUAAUUCACAUUAGUUUAUUAUAGAUUAGUCCAAUAUUUAGCUUUUUCAGAUUAUUUUUAUUUGAGCUUUAAUUAUGUUGGAAUGAGCUUAACAGGUCACUUAAGUUUAGGGUUAGUGUCCAAAAUACAAGCUUAGGGUCCAAAGUGCAAACUUAGGGUUCAAAUUGAAAUGAAUCAAUAUAAAUAUAUAUAUAUAUACCCAAAAAUAAAAAUUUAGUAAAUAAAAAUAUAAAAAAAAAUCAAAAGGGAAACAUUUCAUCUUGCAUUACUAGAUUUGAUUCCACAAAAUAAAGAUAAUAAAAGCAAAUAAAAAAACAGGAAAAAUCAACGAAAAGGAAAGAUAUAAAAAAUAAAAGCCAUAAUAUCUUAAAAAGUGUUUAAAUUAUUUAAAAAAUUCAAAUAAACCCUUAUACUUUUAUUGCGUUAGAUCAAACUUUUAUACUUUUAUUUUGAGUCAAAUAAAUUUUUAUAACUAAUAGUUGACUUAGUCAAAAUAUCACUUGUCAUUUUAUAACAUGUUUCACUAAUAUGACACUAACAUGAUAUGUUGACAUGUCAUAAUACAUGAUGACAUGGUAUGUUAAUGUGACAUGAUGACAUGGUAUGUUAAUGUGACAUGAUGACAUGGUCAUAUCACAUUUUUCACCACACGGACAUAAAAUGGUAGUGGAUGUUUUGAUUAUUAGCAAUUAGUCAACCAUUAUUUAUAAGGGCUUAUUUAAAUUUUUUUAAAAAAUUUAUGAAUUUUUUUUAGCAUUAUGGAAAAAUAAAAAGGGGAAGAGAUCCAAAUUACACAUUAAAAAAUCACCUACAAUAUUAUGAAAAUUAUUGAUGUAAAAACUCUUCCCUCUUCCAAAAAAAAAAUCUCUCCCUCUAUUGCUAAUAAAAAUCUCACCAUGCAUUUUUAGAGAUCAAAACGCUUGUUAAAUGUCAAAAAUCAAAUUCUAUUUUUAAAUCUAAUGCUUUAUUUCUUUUUUCCAAAUUAAGCUUAGAAUUGGUUUGGAUGGAAGUUUGAGUGUUCUGACAUAUGUUUGCAAAAAAGCAAUAUUCGAGUCAAAAAGGGUUUCCCUCGGUAUUUUGGAAUUGCUCUUAUAACUUUAAAAUUUAAGCAUUGGUUAGUGUGUAAAAAGGGUGUAUAAACUCUUAUCCUUUGAGCAAUUAAGAUACUAAUUUUUGAAUGAGUUGAUACAUUAAGGCAUUUAAUUUGGAAAAAUUUGGAAAUUAAUUAUGCUUGAUUUAUUAGUACUUAUUAUUAUAUUAUUUACUAUUGCUUGCUGAUGUACCAACACAAUUUGUCAACCAGUUUUUCUUAUGUACCAGCAACUUUUGUUAUGAUUUAAGAGCCUUCUCUCAUAACCAUUUAAAUAUUGAUUAAUUUCUUGCAGGUUUAGUCACCCACAUAAAACAAAUUCUAAAAGGUUUAGAAUAAUUUUUUCUUUCUUGCUGACCUGCGGUUUAGUCAACUGGUGUCAUUAUAUAUACAUAGACAAGAGACCCUGACCAGGCGACGGUAACCCAUCCAACAAAGGAAACAAGAUUACACCAAAGGACACUAACACCGAACAGAAACACAAUCAGCAGCAUCAAGUCUAUGCUACAAUAUUACAGAUUCGUUGUCGACACUGUAACAUCACAGAUACAUACUCAUAAAGCAUACAAACACCAACCAUCCCAAUAAUCAGAAACCAAACUGAAAAUCACCAGCAGCAAUGAAAGCAUGUCCAGAAAACUCCAUCAGCACACCCGCAGAUCUCGACAUUCACAAACCGGAAAAGAGAUGGUAGAACACCCCAUAAACCUGAGAGGCAUCACAAGGAAAAACAUAAUAUCGAACCACCAAGCAUAAAACAUGUCACCACGAUCGACCCCAAUUUUUGCAGGUGAGUCCAUCAUUGAAUUUGCUGCUCGUAGUGUAUGCACGAAGGAAACCAAUUUAAACAACCGAUUUAAGGAAGCGAGUGAAGAUAGCAGCUUUAUCAAAGUCUCCUUCUUCGUGGGCUCGUAAGAUAUUAAACAUAAGAAUAAGCCGAAUCCGAUUGCAAGCUGUUUGCUUCAUAAUCACUUGAGUUUCCUCUCUGAGUUGAUCGCUUUGGCGUUGAACAUCUCCAAACCUUUCUCCUAUAUUUCGUUGCUUCUCUCUUAUGCAUCUUUGAACUUCCCUUAUCUUUCCCAUUUGUGAUUUUAUUCGUUGGAUCCUCACUUUCAAACUCUUCAUUUUUUGUUUGAAAGCCUUCUUCCUCAUGCUCAUCGCCAUUUUAUCAGCUUAAAUUUGAAGCUAAAGUGCUCAAAGA
rnacentral:lncRNA from 1 species